rnacentral:rRNA from 1 species
UACGAAGGGGGCUAGCGUUGCUCGGAAUCACUGGGCGUAAAGGGUGCGUAGGCGGGUCUUUAAGUCAGGGGUGAAAUCCUGGAGCUCAACUCCAGAACUGCCUUUGAUACUGAGGAUCUUGAGUUCGGGAGAGGAGAGUGGAAUUUCGUGUGUAGGGGUGAAAUCCGUAGAUCUACGAAGGAACGCCAAAAGCGAAGGCAGCUCUCUGGGUCCCUACCGACGCUGGGGUGCGAAAGCAUGGGGAGCGAACAGG